rnacentral:misc_RNA from 1 species
GAGGAUUCAUUGGCCCGUUCGUUUUGGGAAAAACUGAGCCUGUGCCGAUUCCAUCUAUUUCACACACUAGUGCACCCGUCCUUUUUUAAACCCUUUUGCAUCUGUACAAACGGUUGUAAAGUGAAAAUGACAAAGAAAGAA